rnacentral:rRNA from 1 species
UACGUAGGGUGCAAGCGUUAAUCGGAAUUACUGGGCGUAAAGCGUGCGCAGGCGGUUGUGCAAGACCGAUGUGAAAUCCCCGGGCUUAACCUGGGAAUGGCAUUGGUGACUGCACGACUAGAGUGUGUCAGAGGGGGGUAGAAUUCCACGUGUAGCAGUGAAAUGCGUAGAGAUGUGGAGGAAUACCGAUGGCGAAGGCAGCCCCCUGGGAUAACACUGACGCUCAUGCACGAAAGCGUGGGGAGCAAACAGG